UACGAAGGGUGCAAGCGUUACUCGGAAUUACUGGGCGUAAAGCGUGCGUAGGUGGUUUGUUAAGUCUGUUGUGAAAGCCCCGGGCUCAACCUGGGAAUGGCAAUGGAUAUUGGCAGGCUAGAGUGCGGUAGAGGGUAGUGGAAUUCCCGGUGUAGCGGUGAAAUGCGCAGAUAUCAGGAGGAACACCCGUGGCGAAGGCGGCACUCUGGGACGGUACUGACGCUGAGACGCGAAAGCGUGGGGAGCGAACAGG
rnacentral:rRNA from 1 species